GGGGUGGUCGAUUCCGAAACGUACGGCAACUGGGCGUUGGGCGCGACGUGGGGGCUGUUGCGGCGCUGAGGCAGAUGCGGCUAGGGUUUUCCUCUUUUGUUUUUUUUUGUUUUGCUGUAUUGGGCUCGGGUUUGUAUUUGUUUGUUGGUUUGGGCUGUUUUUUUGUUUUGUUUGGAGCCAGGCCGAUUGGGCCUUAUUACAGUAUUGAUACUCAAAUUAAAAUUGAUACCAUUUUGACAUUUUGUUUUAUUUAGAUACUAUUCAUUUAGUCAAGUAUUGAUACCAUAUGCCAAAGUAUCGAUACUUAUCUCAAAAAUGGUAAAAAUCUUAUCUUAGCAUAUUCAAUUCAUGCCAAAAAGUUAC
rnacentral:lncRNA from 1 species